rnacentral:rRNA from 1 species
UACGGGGGGAGCAAGCGUUGUUCGGAAUUACUGGGCGUAAAGGGCGCGUAGGCGGCCUGCUAAGUCACACGUGAAAUCCCUCGGCUCAACCGGGGAACUGCGUGUGAUACUGGCGGGCUCGAAUUCGGGAGAGGGAUGUGGAAUUCCAGGUGUAGCGGUGAAAUGCGUAGAUAUCUGGAGGAACACCGGUGGCGAAGGCGGCAUCCUGGACCGAGAUUGACGCUGAUGCGCGAAAGCUAGGGUAGCAAACGGG